ensembl:lncRNA
GACUGGGCACACAGGCUAUCAGCACUCACUGAGGAACAGGGGGGUGUUUCCAGCAGCCAUUUCAGAGAAGUCCAGAUCCAGACUUCUGAGUUUCAGAAAGGAAAUGCAUCAUCAUUUCAUAUCCUGAGAAUCAUACCUAAUGGAUUUAGUUUUACUUUGUUUACGUUGUUUUUGUAGCGAACACUUACCAGCUGACAGAUCAGCAGUCCGGACUUACUGUGGGGCGGAUCAAACUAUACUGGGCCACAGAGGCCAGGAGACGAGGGAUGGAGGAGGAAUCAGUCUGUCACUCCUAACCACCUCUCUUUCACAUGAAUGGUGUUGCUGUUGUACUCUUCUCUAAAGGCAUCCAGACUUUACGUUCAGAUGAGCCCUGCAGAAAACAGCUUGAGUCAAAUAUGAAUGAUGUCUUUUAAAUAUGUGCGCCGCAGCUUUGCACACAAAUGGAUGGCAGUCCUAGGGAACUUGAACUACGAGAUGAAAAUGAAAUAGCAUACAUCAGUACACUUUAUAUCACAAUCUGGAAAUGAAACAGGAGUUGUCAAGUGUUACCAACGUGUAAACAACAUUCUCAUGCACAGACCAGUUUCACUUGAUUUCAUGUUCAAGGACCUGGAUGUGACUUUCUCUGAAUGUCUGUACUCAACACUAAGUCCUGUAGUCAGUGAAAGACGAGCCAGGUCCAGGAAUCAGAGAAGUUUCUGACUGAGUUGGUGACGAAAAUGUUGAUGAAAAACACGUUAUGGCACUUUCUGAGUCUGCAGUGCAUUAAGGGCACACAUGACAACACUAUGGAGCAGUCAGCACACUCUGGGGACUUAAUGAGAUUGUUGUGCCUGUGUGAGUGAGUGAGAAAUGAGUUCUCAAUAAAAUGUUUAAUUCACCCCUGGCCUGAUGUCUCUCUUGCUGCUGCAGAACUGUCACACACUGAGAUGUGUUCAGAUGUGCACAUGUGGGAUGUUUAGUCUCAACUCUGCCUUCCUCUGUGAAGAUUUCUUCCUUAGAUUGACUCUUUCAGGAAGUGAUUUCUCGCGGUUUCAGAGCUGAGCCUUAACUACUAACCAUUUCAUGCAGAAAACCACAUUUUAAGACGAGCAUUGUUCUUCAGGCACUCUGAAAGAUCUGCCAGGUUUGUAUUAUUACUGAAUACAUACGGACAUGAUUUUAUUUUUUUUUUUUUUUUUGCAACAAAUACUGUGAGCUUAGCCUGUUAUAUGGUCAGCUAUAUUUUAUAUUGCAGUGAUUGAUGAUGCUAGCGGAUAUUUGAUGAUGUUUUUCAUAGCGCAAAAUCGGUUUAUUCGGAUUUGAACAGUUUCGUUAUAAAAACCCAAACACUGCACAUUAACCUCUGUUCAUCUUGUUUUCAAGCCUGUCUCUCUCUCUCUCACACACGCGCGUUUGAUUAUGGGCAACAUGUAUAGGCUGCAGUUUGCGUCACUUUAACCUCAACCGGCCAGCAGGCUAAUAACAUUGUCCGAUUUCGAGAUCAAGCCAAAUAAUCUUGCGUGUGACUGCUGCAGCCUUUUAAAUGCAUCUAACUAACGAAGCGGGCUCUU